rnacentral:rRNA from 1 species
ACUACUUUGAGUAGCAAUACCUGAAGUAGUUUAGUGGCGAACGGGUGCGUAACAUGUGGGCAAUCUACCGAGAAGUGGGGGAUAGCUCGCCGAAAGGCGAAUUAAUACCGCAUAUGAUGAGAGGCGACAUCGUCUCGAAUUCAAAGCCGGGGCAACCUGGCGCUUUUUGACGAGCCCGCGGCCUAUCAGCUUGUUGGUGAGGUAACGGCUCACCAAGGCGAUGACGGGUAGCUGGUCUGAGAGGACGACCAGUCACACUGGAACUGAGACACGGUCCAGACACCUACGGGUGGCAGCAGUCGAGAAUUUUUGACAAUGGGGGAAACCCUGAUCGAGCGACGCCGCGUGGAGGAUGAAGGUCUUCGGGUUGUAAACUCCUGUCAUUUGGGAACAAGCGGCUCACGUUAACUGCGUGAGCCUUGAUAGUACCAGAAGAGGAAGGGACGGCUAACUCUGUGCCAGCAGCCGCGGUAAUACAGAGGUCUCAAGCGUUGUUCGGAUUCAUUGGGCGUAAAGGGUGUGUAGGUGGCGCCGUAAGUCAGGUGUGAAAUCUCGGGGCUUAACUCCGAAACUGCAUUUGAUACUGCGGUGCUUGAGGACUGGAGAGGAGACUGGAAUUUAUGGUGUAGCAGUGAAAUGCGUAGAUAUCAUAAGGAAGACCAGUGGCGAAGGCGGGUCUCUGGACAGUUCCUGACACUGAGACACGAAGGCCAGGGGAGCAAACGGGAUUAGAUACCCCGGUAGUCCUGGCAGUAAACUGUGCACGUUUGGUGUGGGGGGAUUCGACCCCUUCUGCGCCGGAGCUAACGCGUUAACGUG